GGCGCACGGGUGAGUAACGCGUGGAUAAUCUGCCCAAUGGACUGGGAUAACAUCUCGAAAGGGGUGCUAAUACCGGAUAAGACCACGGGAUCCUAGGAUUCUGCGGUAAAAGGUGGGGACCUUCGGGCCUACCGUCAUUGGAUGAGUCCGCGUACCAUUAGCUAGUUGGUAGGGUAAAGGCCUACCAAGGCUACGAUGGUUAGCUGGUCUGAGAGGAUGAUCAGCCACACUGGAACUGAGACACGGUCCAGACUCCUACGGGAGGCAGCAGUGGGGAAUUUUGCGCAAUGGGGGAAACCCUGACGCAGCAACGCCGCGUGAGUGAUGAAGGCCUUCGGGUCGUAAAGCUCUGUCAGAGGGGAAGAAGUGCAGUGGUGCUAAUAUCGCCAUUGUUUGACGGUACCCUCAAAGGAAGCACCGGCUAACUCCGUGCCAGCAGCCGCGGUAAUACGGAGGGUGCAAGCGUUGUUCGGAAUUAUUGGGCGUAAAGCGCGUGUAGGCGGUUUGAUAAGUCUGAUGUGAAAGCCCCGGGCUCAACCUGGGAAGUGCAUUGGAAACUGUCAGACUUGAAUAC
rnacentral:rRNA from 1 species